rnacentral:rRNA from 1 species
UACAGAGGGUGCGAGCGUUAAUCGGAAUUACUGGGCGUAAAGCGCACGUAGUCGGCUUUGCAAGUCGGUUGUGAAAUCCCCGGGCUCAACCCGGGAACUGCGUCCGAUACUGGAAGGCUUGAAUCCGGGAGAGGGAUGCGGAAUUCCAGGUGUAGCGGUGAAAUGCGUAGAUAUCUGGAGGAACACCGGGGGCGAAGGCGGCAUCCUGGACCGGUAUUGACGCUGAGGCGCGAAAGCCAGGGGAGCAAACGGG